CCUUCGUGGUGUAGUGGUUCUGCACGCUGGGCUGGUGUUCCAGAGGUCCAUGGUUCGAUUCCCGGCGAAGGGGAUUGCUCAUUUGUCCAUCUCUCCUGCUUACAAAAUACCCUAAUGUCUCUAUAAACUUAUUUCUUCUUCAGAUUAAGCAGCAUUAAAAUACAGAUCAAAAUGAGGGAGGAGUUCGCCCGGCAAUCUAGUGAGGUUACUCAGAGUUUAGUUCAACUGCACUCGAAUGAGCCCCUCGGUUUCUCAGAAACAAGAAUCUGCAUAAAGACUUAAAGAUUGUUUACAUUAAGAAUUACCUCACUAAGCUAAGCAAAAAUUUCUACCGUAAUGCCGAAACGAAUCAUGCUGCAAAUUUUGCUGGAAUCUUAAAACUACGAAAUUACUCCAGACGAUUACUUUUCAAAACUCUAUGCAGCGCAUGUUAAACCUAUAAACAUAAUUGCUUGUUUGCAUCAUCAUCUCUCCUACACACUUUUUAACCUUUUAACUGUCAUGCCCGAGAUAAUCUCGGGUACAGGUGUUCAGCACUG